GAUGAACGCUGGCGGCGUGCCUAACACAUGCAAGUCGAGCGAACGGACGAGAGGCUUGCUCCUCUGAUGUUAGCGGCGGACGGGUGAGUAACACGUGGAUAACCUACCUAUAAGACUGGGAUAAUUUCGGGAAACCGGAGCUAAUACCGGAUGAUAUUUUGAACCGCAUGGUUCAAAAGUGAAAGACGGUCUUGCUGUCACUUAUAGAUGGAUCCGCGCUGCAUUAGCUAGUUGGUAAGGUAACGGCUUACCAAGGCAACGAUGCAUAGCCGACCUGAGAGGGUGAUCGGCCACACUGGAACUGAGACACGGUCCAGACUCCUACGGGAGGCAGCAGUAGGGAAUCUUCCGCAAUGGGCGAAAGCCUGACGGAGCAACGCCGCGUGAGUGAUGAAGGUCUUCGGAUCGUAAAGCUCUGUUAUUAGGGAAGAACAUAUGUGUAAGUAACUGUGCACAUCUUGACGGUACCUAAUCAGAAAGCCACGGCUAACUACGUG
rnacentral:rRNA from 1 species